rnacentral:lncRNA from 1 species
AAGAUUCAAGGGGGAACUGAACUCAACCAGGAAGCUAGGUAUUAAAAUCUAAGGGGGUAUGAUUAGAAAGGAAACUUACGCUUUAGAUAGUAAGAGACAAAGAUAUAGAUAGAUAUGUGACUUUGAGUUUACCAAUGAAGCUAAGACAUUUUAACAGAAGAGAAAAACUUAAGUCCAUAUAUGACCACAUAAAGUUGCCUACCAGUUUAGACUUCCUACUCUAAAACAUUAUUUGUUAUUAUUACUGUGUGUGUUUAUGUGUCCAGAUGAGGGGGACAUACAGCAGGAGGGAUUUUUUGUGAUAAACUUUUCCUAGGGAAACUGUAGCCAAUCUUUGCUACUUUGUGAAUUCUUUUUUUCCACUUCUGUUUAUCCCCCACUCCCUGUUUCACCUCCUAUCAUGAAACAGGAGGGAAAGAAGGAUAGAGGGGAGAGAAAGAGAUAAUCUAUCCGCAAAUCUAAUUUCUACUGACAAACAGCCACCAACCCACCUGAAUGACCAACAACCAUCAACCUCACCUCUCAGGUGAGGAAGUGGAAACUUGAGGGUUCUUUGGAAAGUUAGUUGUGUUGGAUGGUAUUUGCUAAGGUAAACAUGUGAAGGAGUGUUUUAUUGAAGCAGACACAAGAGAAAGGCUAAGACAGACUUGUGAAGAAACAUUUCACUGAAGCAGACACAGGAUACAAGAUGUUCUGUUAAACUAAGCAUAUGUUUAAGCAUGUGAUGAAGGAUUCUUUGUUAAUGACACACAUGUAUUGGUCCGCCUUACACUGUGUAGUUGAGCUCCAUUUGUUGGGCCUCCACAGAGAGAGAUGUCUCCAAAAAGCUUCUGCUGGUGUACUGCAGUUUCUUGCCACUUCCAAGGGCUCAGGCUGAUUGGCAGACUGAUUUCAGCUGAGACAGAUGCACUUGCUGAGGCAAGACCCGUGGAGGACACGUGAUGCUUGAAGGGCAUAGAAAGGACUCAUCAGAGUGAGUGAUAGGAACUAGCUUGGCUUAUUUGCAGAGCUAGCUGUGCAACUCUUGUUGGUUGCAUCCUUUCUGAUCUUCACUUCGCUAAGAGAGGCACAGCUGAGAACUUUUCCUGUUGGCCCUGGUCCCUCCUGCCGAUUUGUGCCAAGACUGAGGCCUGGCUGUCUCUGCUAGGUAGUGCCACCUCUGCUGAUUCAUGUUUGAUAUCCAAAUUCUACUGAACUGGACUGCUGGUGUAUCUGUGAAGUGUUUCUGAGUGGAUUGAGCUGUUGCCAUUGGCCUGUGAACUGAACUGCUGAUUUCCAGACAACACAGAUGAGAGUUGCUUCAAAGAACCCUUCCUAAACAGGUCCACUUCUCCUGUAACCUUUCUUUUCUACUACCUGUGGUGGGCUAAACGGGAGGUUAAAGCAUUUAAGAAUCAUCAUUAAAUGUAGCUGUUGAAAAAAAUUUAAAAAAAAGUUACAGGUCUUCAAAUUUAUAUACCUUCUAAAAAGUUCCCAGAAUUUCAAGUGUCCCAAAACCACAGAAACUGAGGCAAAUCAUAGUCAGCUGUUGCCGUAGACAGUUUGAAGAAGCCCCAUAUCUUAUACCUGGGAUUAAAACAAUACCACAUUCUUAUAAU